AUACAAUGAUGUGGACAUCUCUGUAAGAGCUCCUUGUAUCUUUCUUAAGCUUCAUAAAGUGAUUCUCCUUCCUGCUGUAUAAAGGAUGUGAUUUUUCCUCUCAACUU